GCCUGACGGAGCAACGCCGCGUGAGGGACGAAGGCCUCUGGGCUGUAAACCUCUUUUCUCAAGGAAGAAGAUAUGACGGUACUUGAGGAAUAAGCCACGGCUAAUUCCGUGCCAGCAGCCGCGGUAAUACGGGAGUGGCAAGCGUUAUCCGGAAUUAUUGGGCGUAAAGCGUCCGCAGGCGGCUUUUCAAGUCUGCUGUUAAAACGUGGAGCUUAACUCCAUCAUGGCAGUGGAAACUGAAAGGCUUGAGUAUGGUAGGGGCAGAGGGAAUUCCCGGUGUAGCGGUGAAAUGCGUAGAUAUCGGGAAGAACACCAGUGGCAAAGGCGCUCUGCUGGGCCAUUACUGACGCUCAUGGACGAAAGCCAGGGGAG
rnacentral:rRNA from 1 species